UGCCAUAAGGGAUAGUAUUACCCUUAUGGCUACACAGGUAGCAGUAGCA
rnacentral:ncRNA from 1 species